CCUACGGGAGGCAGCAGGAGGAAUAUUGGUCAAUGGGCGCAAGCCUGAACCAGCCAUGCCGCGUGCAGGAUGACGGUCCUAUGGAUUGUAAACUGCUUUUGUACGGGAAGAAACCCUCGUACGUGUAGGAGCUUGACGGUACCGUAAGAAUAAGGAUCGGCUAACUCCGUGCCAGCAGCCGCGGUAAUACGGAGGAUCCAAGCGUUAUCUGGAAUCAUUGGGUUUAAAGGGUCUGUAGGCGUUCUUGUAAGUCAGUGGUGAAAGCCCAUCGCUCAACGGUGGAACGGCCAUUGAUAAUGCUGGACUUGAAUUAUUGGGAAGCAACUAGAAUAUGUAGGGUAGCGGUGAAAUGGUUAGAGAUUACAUGGAAUACCAAUUGCGAAGGCAGGUUGCUACCAAUGGAUUGACGCUGAUGGACGAAAGCGUGGGUAGCGAACAGGAUUAGAUACCCUGGUAGUCCACGCCGUAAACGAUGGAUACUAGCUGUUGGGCGCAAGUUCAGUGGCUCAGCGAAACGAUAAGAUCCCCC
rnacentral:rRNA from 1 species